UACGUAGGGGGCAAGCGUUUUCCGGAUUUAUUGGGCGUAAAGAGCGUGUAGGCGGCCAGAUAGGUCCGUUGUGAAAACUCGAGGCUCAACCUCGAGACGCCGAUGGAAACCAUUUGGCUAGAGUCCGGAAGAGGAGAGUGGAAUUCCUGGUGUAGCGGUGAAAUGCGCAGAUAUCAGGAAGAACACCCGUGGCUAAGGCGGCUCUCUAGUACGGUACUGACGCUGAGACGCGAAAGCGUGGGGAGCGAACAGG
rnacentral:rRNA from 1 species